GUCGUCGUAGCUCAGUCGGUGAGAGCGCGGAGCUGAUGACUCCGAGGGCGGGGGUUCGAUUCCCUCCGGCGACACCA
rnacentral:tRNA from 1 species